GGCUAAAAUUGGUUGCUUCCUGAAGAAGGACCAUAAUCAACGCUUUCAUAACAUCUUGAAUAACCACUCGUUUGGACGAAGACUACGUUACGUUUCAGCAGACGCUUAAAGAAACUAUUAUCGUCAUGGUCUGACUUUUGAUAAAGGCCAGCAUCUACGUGGUGAGGAAGAUCCGGGCCUCGAUCCAGGACGGGGAGCAGAGAGAGGAACCCAUCUUCACACCAUGUAGUCUGGCCAAAGGUGAGCAUAAGCAGCUCUCAGUGUCUGGGAAGACAGCCAUGUUGACCUCUGACCCUGAUGAUGUGUCAGCUGCCGGGGCUCAGGCUCCAUCCACUGAGACGGCUGUGCAGAAGUGCGGCUCCUGAGGUUAAAGGUCACGCCUGCAGGUUGCCUGGGGUAACGGAAUGCCAACAAACACUGCUGUCCGCCAGAAGUCUUGUCAUCCUUUGGACUGGUUUGACAUGUCACACAGGGUGGCAUUGUGCCCCAUUGAGCCCUAUGCCAACAUUGACCAGGUUAGGCAGAUAGAGGCAGCUUUACAGCAAACAGUGAGAUCAGAAUUAGAUUCCUGACUGCUGAAACUCAGCAGAGGCGGAGGGUAAAAUUUUAAA